rnacentral:lncRNA from 1 species
UGCUAAAAUAGGAUUACAGAUUAAUUCUGCACUUUGCAUGUUUAUUCUGUCUCUCAGGAGUGCAUCACCAAGUAUUUGUCGAUAAAAUAUCAAGAGAUGGAUGUAGCACAUACUGCCAAUUAAUGUUUCUGGUAACAAAUUCAGGAUGUCCUUUGACUGUGUGCUUAAUGACCUCAGUUUCACUACAAGCACUGGCUGCUUCUUGAGUGAUAUAAGCUGAUGAAAAACACCAC